rnacentral:rRNA from 1 species
AGACUGUGAAGUGGAGCAAAUCUCAAAAAAUUGUCUCAGUUCGGAUUGCAGGCUGCAACUCGCCUGCAUGAAGUCGGAAUUGCUAGUAAUCGCGGAUCAGAAUGCCGCGGUGAAUACGUUCCCGGGUCUUGUACACACCGCCCGUCACACCAUGGGAGUCGGAAAUGCCCGAAGUCUGUGACCCAACCUACGGGAGGGAGCAGCCGAAGGCAGGUCGGAUGACUGGGGUGAAGUCGUAACAAGGUAAC